rnacentral:rRNA from 1 species
UACGUAGGGGGCAAGCGUUGUCCGGAUUUAUUGGGCGUAAAGAGCGUGUAGGCGGCUGGGUAGGUCCGUUGUGAAAACUCGAGGCUCAACCUCGAGACGCCGAUGGAAACCCUCCAGCUAGAGUCCGGAAGGGGCGAGUGGAAUUCCUGGUGUAGCGGUGAAAUGCGCAGAUAUCAGGAGGAACACCGGUGGCGAAGGCGGGUCUCUGGGCCGAUGACUGACACUGAGGAGCGAAAGCGUGGGGAGCGAACAG